CGUAGGGUGCAAGCGUUGUCCGGAUUUACUGGGCGUAAAGAGCGCGUAGGCGGUCUGUUAAGUGUAGAGUGAAAUCUCCGGGCUCACCCCGGAAACUGCUCUGCAUACUGGCAGACUUGAGGGAUGCAGAGGUUUGUGGAAUUCCUGGUGUAGCGGUGAAAUGCGUUGAUAUCAGGAGGAACACCCAUGGCGAAGGCAGCAAACUGGGCAUCAUCUGACGCUGAGGCGCGAAAGCGUGGGUAGCAAACAGGAUUAGAUACCCUGGUAGUCCACGCCCUAAACGAUGGAUACUAGGCGUAAGAGGUAUCGACCCCUCUUGUGCCGCAGCUAACGCACUAAGUAUCCCGCCUGGGGACUACGGCCGCAAGGUUG
rnacentral:rRNA from 1 species